CUUUACCGAUUGUUAAACAUUUUCUACAUUGUGCUGGUUAGUUUUGGGACCAAUAACUUAAGUAUCUAUAUAGAAAAUGUUUAACAAUCGGUAAAGAAAUUUAAAUUACAAUUAGAAUUUUUCUUUAAUUCAUAGGCUCAGCUCAAGAUAACAAUAUGUGAGAGUUGCAGUAUAUGGUAUUUUUCCGUUUGUUGCCCAAAAUUUAAUCCUCUGUGGAUCCAGAAGAGUGAUGAGGGAAAUUCGACCAUACAUCAUCCCAUGUGCUCUGCCCAUCGGUAGCUGACUUCACAACCGAGGCUGCUUCUUCCACGUUAACACGGAUUUGAUCCUUGCUAUCCCUCUCUCUGAUUGUCACAGAUGAUGAUGAAUCAACAGUUAUUGCAAAUGGUACACCUAGUUCAUCUGUCCUUGCAUAUCGUUUGCC
rnacentral:misc_RNA from 1 species